AAGAGAGAGACAUGCGCGCAUAUCAAUAAGCGGAGGAAAAGAAACUAACUAGGAUUCCCUCAGUAACGGCGAGUGAAGCGGGAAGAGCUCAAAUUUGAAAUCUUCAAGGUUCUACCUUGACGAAUUGUAGUUUAAAGAAGUGUUUUCUGUUGGAGUUUUGGUAAAAGUUCUUUGGAAUAGGACAUCAUAGAGGGUGAGAAUCCCGUAUUUGACCAUUAUUUCAGCUGUGUGAUACACUUUCAAAGAGUCGGAUUGUUUGGGAAUGCAGUCCAAAAUGAGUGGUAAAUUUCAUCUAAAGCUAAAUAUUGGCGAGAGACCGAUAGCGAACAAGUACCGUGAGGGAAAGAUGAAAAGAACUUUGAAAAGAGAGUUAAACAGUACGUGAAAUUGUCAAAAGGGAAGCGUUUGACACCAGUGUUGUUUUUCUGAAAAUCAAUUAAAGAACUGUUUAUGCUAAGUUGUUUAGACUUUAUCAGCUAACUGUUUAGUUUUGAGCUUUUCUUUAAUGCACUUUUCAGUUAACAAGUCAACAUCAAUUUCUUUUGCUGUAAAAAAGCUUGAGGAAGGUGGCUUGAGAUUCGUCUUAAGUGUUUAUAGCCUCUUGCCUAUGCAGUCGGAGAGAUUGAGGUCUGCAGCGUAGAUCCUUCGGGGCUAAAUGCAUUUGUGCUAAGUUAUAGCAUUUUAUAGACAACUUGUUGACUAUGAUUUGUCUUGUAGCUUACUCGCUUAUGUUAUUUUACCUACGCUUAGGAUGUUGAUGUGAUACUGCGAGCA
rnacentral:rRNA from 1 species